rnacentral:lncRNA from 1 species
AACUACAACUAGUAUAACACAUAAUUCAUCAACCCAUGACACUAUUACCUACAAGUGGGUUUACAUAACAACAUCAAAUUAAUCUGAAUUUCAUGCAUAAUUCAAGUCUCAUAUAGCCUCUUACCAUCCUAAUUUCAUACAUACACAUGGAUGAAUCAAGACCCACUUCCUUUCUCACCAAAAUUUCAUGAAUCCAUGACUUACCUUACCUCAAGGACACUUAGACAAGUGUAGAUGAUGUCUCAUGCACUCGAUUUCCAGCUCAAAUCACCCCAAUUUAUGCAGAAUUCUUGUGUUGAUGAUGAUUUAGGAAUCACCCAAAUCCGGCCAGUGAACGGUUCGGAACGGCGGUUUAACGUUUAACCCGAAGUCGGUGAACCUCGUAGAUAGAACCCGAAUCUUGAACCUCACGACCAUUAGAAUGAUUAGUGAGUUGGCUCAAGCUCCGUUUCUACUGGUUUGAAGGCAAUGAGUGUAAAAGAGUUGAAAGAAAGUUGGAAAUCCUUCUUUCAAUCCUUCACAUCAUGUAAAUGUUUAGAUCUUUGAUAGAUCUUAGCUUGUUUAUGUGGAAAUCGGUUAGAUCCGAACUAUUCAUGGUGGAUUGAAGCCAAAACAUGAUGUUCUUGAAGAACACCAUGAUGACAUCAUCCAAGAAUGUUUAGAUCUUGGUGAUUUCACGGUUAGAAAUCAAGAUUUGAAAGAUAGAAAGGUGUAGGAGCAUGUUUUGAUCAAGAAAGUACAAGAUUUAGGAUGAAAACUUACCGGAAUCGGAAGAAAUCUGAGAAAAGGAGGGGAGCACGAGCUGGUCAGUCAGAGCUUUCCAAAAGUGGUAAAGAGUGACAAUGACAGCCCUAUUUAUAGGCUCCAAAAGAGGAAAGGGUUGGCCGAUCGGCCAGGCUUCCCCGAUCGGACAGCCUGCUCGAUCGAACAGCCUGUUCGAUCGGCUGGGCUGUUCGAUCGGCUGAUAGCCUGAUCGAUCAACAGCCUGGUUCGAGGGUUCGGUGCGACGAUUUUCGAUAUUUCGAUUUCGAUUGAAGAUGAUACGAGACCUUAGGUACAUUUGGGAGCUUGCACAGGGAGGAGCAGGUCGUUGUGGGACAUGGAUCGAGGAUUCCAUGUUAAACAUUUAAACAUUUGAACUAAUGAUUUACAUUGGGUUUACAUACCUAUGCUUCUGCUACACUUUGAAGCUAUACUUAUGUUUUGAACACCUAUCGUAUUGAAUGACUGGUUUGCAUUUACUUUUACUUGUUAUUAAUUACAUGUUCGGUAUGAUUGGUGGCUUGAUCCUGGUCAUGUCACGCCUCCAAGCGGUGUUACUCCGUGUGUGGAUUUUGGGGGUGUGACACGUAUAGCAACAACCAAAGUUCGUGUAAUUCGAGAUUCGAGUUCGAUGAUAGUUAGAUCGGUUUGAUUACUGAUUAGUUAACUUUAUCGCAUUAUUACUUCCUACUAUUCACAGUCGUAAGUCGGUUCGCGUCGAUCAAACAUUCGAUUACUUCGAUUCUUUCUUGAUUACAACACUUACUCCACAUAAUACAAAUAAAACAUAAAGUCGACUAUAUACAGUCAAAGAAAGUCAAAGUUGACUUGGACUUUGACUUUGACUUUGACAUCCGAAAACACGGGGUGUUACAUUCAUACUUACCAUUUUCCUCGGAUUGGGAAGGACACUUGUAGAUACAACUAGUCUAGUACAUACAACAUGGGAAGCCCCCACUUAUUAUUGUAUAGGUCUGGGAACAAAGAUACUGGGUAACGCGUGGUUAUGAAACGAACUUACAACUUCUGAAAUGAACUCAUUAACUGAGCAAUCAACUGUGAACUCGCUCAACUUUGUGGUUGACUCUCUGUUACAUGCCUUGCAGGACGUUAGGUACUCAUGGAGCUUGCACUGGGAGGCGCAGUCGUUGUGGGACAUGGACAGUGGAUGCCAUGUUAAGACAUUAUAACAUUUUCGAACUUAAUACUUAUGUUGGGUUUUCAUAUUUAUGCUUCCGCUAAACACUUAACUAUGUUUUGAUUUGAACACAUUUUAUAUUGAUGGGUUAAACUU